rnacentral:rRNA from 1 species
GAUGAACGCUGGCGGCGUGCUUAGCACAUGCAAGUCGAACGGUGAAGGCGGAGCUUGCUCUGCUGGAUCAGUGGCGAACGGGUGAGUAACACGUGAGCAAUCUGCCCCUGACUCUGGGAUAAGCGCUGGAAACGGCGUCUAAUACUGGAUACGAGCUGCGAAGGCAUCUUCAGCAGCUGGAAAGAAUUUCGGUCAGGGAUGAGCUCGCGGCCUAUCAGCUUGUUGGUGAGGUAAUGGCUCACCAAGGCGUCGACGGGUAGCCGGCCUGAGAGGGUGACCGGCCACACUGGGACCGAGACACGGCCCAGACUCCUACGGGAGGCAGCAGUGGGGAAUAUUGCACAAUGGGCGAAAGCCUGAUGCAGCAACGCCGCGUGAGGGACGACGGCCUUCGGGUUGUAAACCUCUUUUAGCAGGGAAGAAGCGAAAGUGACGGUACCUGCAGAAAAAGCGCCGGCUAACUACGU